UAAAGAAGUCCCACGUUUUAUUUGCGGACUGUGAGAUUGUGAUUUUGGAAAAUGAGCUCCGGCGUUCUGGAUUGGUCCGAGUCAUCGCGGCCUCCACGACCUCUGACAGCACUUCCCAGUAAAUAUAUCCUGUUCAGUAACAUUACACUGAGUGCUUCACCCAUAAAAGCCAUUUUAGCUCAGUAAGAGGCGGAGAGGAAGGGCUCCUCAGAUCUGCUGGCAUGACGGGAAUUCAGAGAGCAAACACUGGAGGAGGUGAUGGGAAGCGACACUCAGGCCUGAGCAGAAACAUUCAGAACAAGCUGCAGGCAUCUCAGCCAGACUCUACAGUUGUGGUUAUUUCUCCCUCUUUUGCUUUAUAAAGUAGAACAAACUGCUGUUUCCUCUCAGUCUUUGUUGCUACGACAGAGAUGUGCCACAGCAUCAGUGAGGACGAGAUGUGUUCCUCACUGAUAGGCUGGAGGCAGCAGAAGGGAUGAAGUGUGGUGGUGAAGCUGUCAGGAGGAAUCAGCUGGGAUGCAGCCUCAUGAAGCCAUUGUUUUGGGAAAUAUACACUGUAAAAAAUAAAUUACUUCUUAAUUGAAAUUAAAUAUUUUUUAACUGUU